GUCUGGGUGGUGUAGUUGGUUAUCACCUUUAGUCUCACACACUAAAGGUCCCCAGUUCGAACCUGGGCUUAGACA